GGGUGGUAAAUUCCAUCUAAAGCUAAAUAUUGGCGAGAGACCGAUAGCGAACAAGUACCGUGAGGGAAAGAUGAAAAGCACUUUGGAAAGAGAGUUAAACAGUACGUGAAAUUGUUGAAAGGGAAACGCUUGAAGUCAGUCGCGUUGUUCAAGACUCAGCCUGGCUUCUGCCUGGUGUACUUCUUGAUCGACGGGUCAACAUCGAUUUUGGCCGGCGGAUAAGGGUCAGGGGAAUGUGGCACCUUCGGGUGUGUUAUAGCCUCUGAUCACAUACGUCGGCUGGGAUCGAGGACCGCAGCGSGCCCUUGUGGCCGGAGGUUCGCCUCACGUACCGCGCUUAGGAUGUUGACAAAAUGGCUUUAAGCGACCCGUCU
rnacentral:rRNA from 1 species